UACGGAGGGAGCUAGCGUUGUUCGGAAUUACUGGGCGUAAAGCGCACGUAGGCGGCUUUGUAAGUUAGAGGUGAAAGCCCGGGGCUCAACUCCGGAACUGCCUUUAAGACUGCAUCGCUUGAAUCCAGGAGAGGUGAGUGGAAUUCCGAGUGUAGAGGUGAAAUUCGUAGAUAUUCGGAAGAACACCAGUGGCGAAGGCGGCUCACUGGCCCGAUACUGACGCUGAGGCACGAAAGCGUGGGGAGCAAACAGG
rnacentral:rRNA from 1 species